AUCCGUCAUGUGUUUAUUGCGUUGGAGUAAGUACACAAUGUAGAUAAUCUACCACGAGAUUGUCUAAUGUCUACUGGCAGAUGUAUCUACGAGUCUGACCCUUAAGUUUAUAUAGUGUUGGGAACAUAGCAUGAAAAUAAAAUAAAAUUCUAUGAAACACUCAAGAUCUAAUCUAGGAGUUGCAUACCAAGGAGAGGGGAAGGUGUGCCUAUGUACCCUCGUAGACCGUUAAGCGAAAAUGUAUACAACACGGUUGAUAUAAUCAUACCCUUCGCAACCCAAUCACGGUCCAAUCCGAUCUAUUGCCGAACAAACGACACCUCCGAGUCCAGCACACGUGUGCUCGAUGAUGUCUCCUCCUCCUUGAUCCAACAAGCGAGGGCGGAGAAGUAGAUGGAAUCAUGACCUGCAUGAUGGCAUGGUGGUGAUGGCGGCGGUGCAGCGCUGGCGGCUUCGCCAAGCAUCGUCGGGACAAAACCGAGGAGAAACGAGAGAGACAUGAGAGGGUUGACGCCAAGGGAGGG
rnacentral:lncRNA from 1 species